GACGAACGCUGGCGGCGUGCCUAAUACAUGCAAGUAGAACGCUGAAGAGAGGAGCUUGCUCUUCUUGGAUGAGUUGCGAACGGGUGAGUAACGCGUAGGUAACCUGCCUGGUAGCGGGGGAUAACUAUUGGAAACGAUAGCUAAUACCGCAUGAAAUUGAUUAUCGCAUGAUACUUAAUUGAAAGAUGCAAUUGCAUCACUACCAGAUGGACCUGCGUUGUAUCAGCUAGUUGGUGAGGUAACGGCUCACCAAGGCGACGAUACAUAGCCGACCUGAGAGGGUGAUCGGCCACACUGGGACUGAGACACGGCCCAGACUCCUACGGGAGGCAGCAGUAGGGAAUCUUUCGGCAAUGGGGGGAAACCCUGACCGAGCAA
rnacentral:rRNA from 1 species